CACCUCCCGCCCUCGGAGCCAUCCACACCAGAGGGGGCUUCCCGGAAGAGGUCCUGGGCGGCACCUCACCUGGGAGCAGGUAUAAGGUGAAGGUGCCACAGCUCAAGCAGAAGGCCCACGCAAACUUGACCUCUGCAGAGCUGGAAUGGCCCCAGAGAGGACCUCUGCCGUGAAGACAGACUGAGCCAGCAGUCUCAGGACAUCUGGAGAAGAGGGGGACCAGUGACCCAGGAGGCCGGUCCUCUUCCUUUGUGGGAGACUCCAGUUUGUAGGCCCCUAGCCCUCUCCCGGACCCUCGCCAGUGAGGUAACUGGCCACUCCUGAGAACAUGAUCACAAGGACAGCCUCCCAGAGGCGGAUCCAGGUUCGAGGCUGUGAACCUGUUUCUCAUCUUCCUACGUCUUAUCAUAACCACCACUGACCGAAGAAAGAUUCAAUGGCCUGGCUUCUGCGAGGGAACCUUUAAGCCCGUGGAAUGUCCUGCCUGAUAUGUGUCUGUGUUUACCUGGAGUCCUUGAGCCACACCAGAUAGUUUAUGCUACCAGUGUAGUUUGCGCGGGUGAGGGGGCGUUGGGGUGCACUAUAUCAGCUUGACCCCCGGAGAGACUGGAGACUGAAUAACUCAGGUCAGCCACGUGGGUGCUCCAUGCCUACGCAAGUGACCUUCAAUAAAAACUCUGGACACCAGGGUUUGGGUGAGCUUCUCCGACGGGCAGUAGUCCGUGCGAGUCGUCACACGUCCGUCGUUCGUUGUUGGGAGAAGUAAGUGCUGUUCCGAGACUCCCCUGGGAGGGACAGUGGAAGCUGGUACCUGGUCUCCCUGGAAGCCGCCCACCGAGGCUCAUCCCUUUGCUGAUUUUCAACGGUGUCCUUUAGCUGUAAGGUAACUGUGAGUGUAACAGUUUUCCUAAACUCUCUGAGUCCUUCUAGCAGCUCAUCGAACCCGAGGGUGGUCUUGAGGACCCCUGCAGCGAGGGAGAGGGACUAAGCCAGAGAGUGAGUGGGGGCAUUUUCGGAUGCGGGAUGUGACUGAAACGAAGCUGAGGAGAACCCCGACGUUUGCGGCUUGAGUGGCUGGAUAAAAAUGGACGUGUCGUUUACUCGGAUGGGGGGAGGUCGUGGGAGGAGCGGAGGUGUGAAGACUGAAAAUCCUCUUCGAGUUGGAGGGCUGAGUCUGGAGUUAUAACGGCAUUAUCAUCGCUAGAGUAAGCCCUGUAAAUACGAUUAUUUCUACUUAAAGGAGCCUCGGUGAAGUAUUAUUAGAGAAGGCCUCCAUUGUCACUGUUAAUACCAGAAGCCUCUAUAAAUAUAGUAUUCUUGUUAUUUGAGGAGGCCCCAAUAAACAUUAUUUAUAGGGAAUAAGCCUCUAUUAAUAUAACAAUUACUAGCAUAGCCUGUAAAAAAAAAAAUGCUUAGCAUUAGAAUUGGCCUUGCUAAACGGUGUUAUUGUUUGACGAUUGGCAUCAGUGAAUCUCACGGCGGUCAACAUCGGUUUGU